GCACUCUUGGUCCAGCGGUAGGAUAUUUGCCUUCCAUUCUCGGCUAGCAAAUGGCUCGGGUUCGACUCCCGGAGGGUGCA
rnacentral:tRNA from 1 species